rnacentral:rRNA from 1 species
GAUGAACGCUAGCUACAGGCUUAACACAUGCAAGUCGAGGGGAAACGACAUCGAAAGCUUGCUUUUGAUGGGCGUCGACCGGCGCACGGGUGAGUAACGCGUAUCCAACCUGCCCAUCACUUGGGAAUAACCUUGCGAAAGUAAGACUAAUACCCAAUGACAUCCCACGAAGACAUCUGAAUGGGAUUAAAGAUUUAUCGGUGAUGGAUGGGGAUGCGUCUGAUUAGCUUGUUGGCGGGGUAACGGCCCACCAAGGCAACGAUCAGUAGGGGUUCUGAGAGGAAGGUCCCCCACAUUGGAACUGAGGCACGGUCCAAACUCCUACGGGAGGCAGCAGUGAGGAAUAUUGGUCAAUGGGCGAGAGCCUGAACCAGCCAAGUAGCGUGCAGGAUGACGGCCCUAUGGGUUGUAAACUGCUUUUAUAAGGGAAUAAAGUGGGUCUCGUGAGACUUUUUGCAUGUACCUUAUGAAUAAGGACCGGCUAAUUCCGU